rnacentral:other from 1 species
AUCUAUAUGUUAUACUCAGUUCUGUAGUUUAGGUAAGGUAAUUUUGGUUCGAUCGUUUCAUUGUUUGGAAUAUCCCCAAUUUGCACCGGAACAUGAAUUACAAAAAAUAAAGAACGUGCAAAGUGCACAGGAGGAUUUUCAACAUGGAACAAGGUACAGUUAAAUGGUUUAACGCAGACAAAGGUUUUGGUUUUAUUACUCGCGAAGAUGGCAAUGAUGUAUUCGUACAUUUCUCAGCUAUCCAAGGCGACGGCUUCAAGACUCUUGAAGAAGGCCAAUCAGUUUCUUUCGACGUUGAAGAAAGCGACCGUGGACCACAAGCCGUUAACGUUAACAAGCAGUAAAAACUUAAUUAACGAAUAACGUUUAAACUCCUAGUGUUAGUUUACUAAUACUAGGAGUU